GUGUCAGCAGCCGCGGUAAUACGAAGGGGGCAAGCGUUGUUCGGAUUUACUGGGCGUAAAGGGCGCGCAGGCGGCCCGCCAAGUCAGAUGUGAAAGCCCCGGGCUCAACCUGGGAACUGCAUUUGAGACUGGCGGGCUCGAGUUCGGGAGAGGAUGGCGGAAUUCCCAGUGUAGAGGUGAAAUUCGUAGAUAUUGGGAAGAACACCGGUGGCGAAGGCGGCCAUCUGGACCGAGACUGACGCUGAGGCGCGAAAGCGUGGGGAGCAAACAGGAUUAGAUACCCUGGUAGUCCACGCCGUAAACGAUGUGUGCUAGACGUCGGGGAGCCUAGCUCUCCGGUGUCGCAGCUAACGCUUUAAGCACACCGCCUGGGGAGUACGGCCGCAAGGUUAAA
rnacentral:rRNA from 1 species